GAGCGAACGGACGAGAAGCUUGCUUCUCUGAUGUAGCGGCGGACGGGUGAGUAACACCGUGGCAUAACCUACCUAUAAGACUGGGCAUAACUUCGGGAAACCGGAGCUAAUACCCGGACUAAUAUUUUGAACCGCAUGGUUCAAAAGUGAAAGACCGGUCUUGCUGUCACUUAUAGACUGGAUCCGCGCUGCCAUUAGCUAGUUGGUAAGGUACACGGCUUACCAAGGCAACGAUGCAUAGCCGACCUGAGAGGGUGAUCGGCCACACUGGAACUAGAGACACGGUCCAGACUCCUACGGGAGGCAGCAGUAGGGAAUCUUCCGCAAUGGGCGAAAGCCUGACGGAGCAACGCCGCGUGAGUGAUGAAGGUCUUCGGAUCGUAAAACUCUGUUAUUAGGGAAGAACAUAUGUGUAAGUAACUGUGCACAUCUUGACGGUACCUAAUCAGAAAGCCACGGCUAACUACGUGCCAGCAGCCGCGGUAAUACGUAAGGUGGCACAAGCGUUAAUUCCCGGAGAAUUAAUUGGGCCUAAAGCGCGCGUAGGCGGUUUUUAAGUCUGAUGUGAAAGCCCACGGCUCAACCGUGGAGGGUCAUUGGAAACUGGAAAACUUGAGUGCAGAAGAGGAAAGUGGAAUUCCAUGUGUACCGGUGAAAUGCCGGAGAUAUGGAGGAACACCAGUGGCGAAGGCGACUUUCUGGUCUGUAACUGACGCUGAUGUGCGAAAGCGUGGGGAUCAAACAGGAUUAGAUACCCUGGUAGUCCACGCCGUAAACGAUGAGUGCUAAGUGUUAGGGGGUUUCCGCCCCUUAGUGCUGCAGCUACGCAUUAAGCACUCCCCUGGGGA
rnacentral:rRNA from 1 species